UAAAAGAAGUCAUCCAAUCCUGCACGGUUGCACAUUCUAAGCUGUAGAAUAAUUUGAAACUUCUAUUUUUGUAACUGGUUUUCAGAAAUUAUGGACAAGCUAGUUAAGGAAGGUAUUCUAUCUAAGAGCGGAACAGACAGUUACACGAUUAACAAGCAAAAGAAAUUCGACUAUGAUCUCAAUCCUAUAAAGGAAGAAAUGGAUGGCCAAGUUGUCCCAGGCAAGAAAGCCCAGCAUGAUAUUGGUGAAGAUCACAUGUACAUGAAGGCUUUGUAUCAUGCUCUUCUGAUGAG